rnacentral:rRNA from 1 species
GACGAACGCUGGCGGCGUGCCUAACACAUGCAAGUCGAGCGGAGAGGAAGGAGCUUGCUCCUGAAUCUUAGCGGCGGACGGGUGAGUAACGCGUGAGCAACCUGCCUUGAACUGGGGGAUAACGCAUCGAAAGAUGUGCUAAUACCGCGUAAGACCACAGUACCGCAUGGUACAGGGGUCAAAGGAGCAAUCCGGUUUAAGAUGGGCUCGCGUCCGAUUAGCUAGUUGGUGAGAUAACAGCCCACCAAGGCGACGAUCGGUAGCCGACCUGAGAGGGUGAUCGGCCACAUUGGAACUGAGACACGGUCCAGACUCCUACGGGAGGCAGCAGUGGGGAAUAUUGGGCAAUGGGCGAAAGCCUGACCCAGCAACGCCGCGUGAGGGAAGAAGGGUUUCGGCUCGUAAACCUCUGUCCUAUGGGACGAAGAAGUGACGGUACCAUAGGAGGAAGCCCCGGGCUAACUACGUG